rnacentral:rRNA from 1 species
GACAGAGGAUGCAAGCGUUAUCCGGAAUGAUUGGGCGUAAAGAGCGCGUAGGCGGUCCGGUAAGUCCGCUCUGAAAGUCCGGGGGCUCAACCCCGGGAGGCGGGCGGAUACUGUCGGGCUAGAGUCCGGAAGAGGCGAGUGGAAUUCCUGGUGUAGCGGUGAAAUGCGCAGAUAUCAGGAGGAACACCGGUGGUGUAGACGGCUUCUGGACCGUAACUGACGCUGAACACGAAAGCGUGGGUAGCAAACAG